rnacentral:rRNA from 1 species
CACGUAGGGGGGCGAGCGUUGUCCGGAAUCAUUGGGCGUAAAGAGCUCGUAGGCGGCCCUGUAAGUCCGCUGUGAAAGUCAAGGGCUCAACCCUUGGAUGCCGGUGGAUACUGCAGGGCUAGAGUCCGGAAGAGGCGAGUGGAAUUCCUGGUGUAGCGGUGAAAUGCGCAGAUAUCAGGAGGAACACCGAUGGCGAAGGCAGCUCGCUGGGACGU